rnacentral:rRNA from 1 species
AUUGAACGCUGGCGGCAGGCCUAACACAUGCAAGUCGAGCGAGCGGCGGACGGGUGAGUAAUGUAUGGGGACUGCCCGCUAGAGGGGGGAAACUACUGGAAACGGUAUCGAAUACCGCAUACUAUCGGAUAACCCAUAUGGGAGUAGCUCGUGGGUGAGGUAAUGGCUCACCUAGGCGACGAUCCCUAGCUGGUCUGAGAGGAUGAUCAGCCACACUGGGACUGAGACACGGCCCAGACUCCGACGGAGGCAGCAGUGGGGAAUAUUGCACAAUGGGCGCAAGCCUGAUGCAGCCAUGCCGCGUGUAUGAAGAAGGCCCUAGGGUUGUAAAGUACUUUCAGUCGGGAGGCGUUACCGACAGAAGAAGCACCGGCUAACUCCGUGCCAGCAGCCGCGGUAAUUC